rnacentral:lncRNA from 1 species
AUAUGUUGAUGCACGUGAAUCUUUUAGCGUAAUGAACGCUAACAAACUGAGCGGUCCAUUACCCCUUUUCUCUUCCAACUUGUGGGAGUUGGAUCUUUCCAACAAUGCAUUUUCCGAGACUAUCUCCCACUUCCUAUGUGAAUUGAAGGAAGAGCCAAGGGUGAUAGUUCUUCAUUUAGGAGAAAACCUUCUGUCAGGAGAAAUUCCUGAUUGUUGGACGAGUUGGUCAUUUCUAACAGUCAUAGAAAUUGGGAAAACAACAUCUAACAGGGGAAAUUCAACUCCAGUGAUCCUAUUUCCUUUGGAAACGGGGUUUUUUGCGGUUUUACCUCUUCGGAGGGCUUUCGUCGGAGGUUUCUAGAUAAACACAUUGGUGACAAAGGGAGGUAUGUUAUCAAUAUGACAGAUUCUUUGUUCUGGUGGCUUGUCAUGGACCUUCAAAAAAAAUCUUUGGAAAAGAUCCCCGAGAACUAAAAGUCUCCUCGGAUUGAUUUCACUAAAUCUUCUGAGAAAUCAUUUUUAAAUGGUGUCAUUCCAAAGAAGGAUUGGAAGCAUGGCCGGUGGUUAGGCUCUCUUGAUUUGUCGAGGAACCAGCUGAUUGGUGAAUCCUCCAAGCAUGUCAGGUGUGACAUUUUGAGUUAUUGAAUUUGUCUUAUUAUAACAUCAGGGGAAAAUUCCAUCGAGCACUCAACUACAGAGCUUCAUGCUUCUAGCUCAUUUGGCCACAAGCUUUGUGGACUUCCACUUAGAAGCAUUUAAUCAUUUAAUCAUUUUUUUGCAAUGAAGAACAAAGGAUUCACCCCGAAUAUGUAUACCUUUACUAGCGUUCUGAAGGCGGUUAGGAAAUUAGGUGUUGCGGACAUGGGGAAACAAGUUCACGAGUGUGUCGCCAAGUUGGGUAUGGAGUCUAAUGUUCUCGUGGGAACGCCGUAAUUAAUAUUAUAUGCAAAUGCGGGGUUUUUAUCCGAUGCAGAUUUAUUUUUGACAUGAACUUUAACAAUUAUGAGUUGAACAUGCCAUGGAAUUCAUGAUUUCAGGCUAUUCACAGUGGUGUUGGCUGGCUUGCGGCCAGCCUUUGUUUUCUUGAAUUUGUCGAGCAAGUAGCUGGCUGCUUUUGUUCAUAAACGGACAAGUGAGUAGACAGUGCAGUAAUUAAUAUGUAUGCCAAGUGUGGAAGUAUAAUGGAAGCAGAGAAAGUUUCGGUAGCAUUUCGAACUCUCAUAUAGUUUCAUGGACUGCUAUUAUGUCAAGGUUAUGCCCAACACGGUUUUGUGGAUCACGCUCUUAAGCUUUUUUCAUAUGAUGGCGCAGUUCGGUGUUAAACAUACUGCUGUUACACUGCUCUGCAUUCUGUUUGCUGUAGUCAUGACGGUUCGGUAGAAGCAGGCCUUUGCUAUUUCCGACUGAUGGAGGAAAGAUACAGCAUUACUGUAGAGAUGGAGCAUUAUGCUAGUAUUGUUGACCUCUUAGGUCGUGUGGGCCGCCUAGGUGGCCUUAUAAUUCAUACACAAAUGUCAAAUGAACCAAAUGAUAUUGUAUGGCAGACGCUUUAGGAUCAUGCAGGGUUCAUGCAAUGUUGAGCUGGGGAGGUUUGGCUGCCGAGGAAGAAUCCUUUCCCUUCGAUCGAGGUUUCAGGGGGCAGAGAAAGAUACCUAUGUUCUUUUAUCUAAUCACAUACAUUGGGUCGGGGAGCUUCGAGGGAUUGAUUAACCCUAAGAAUGUUGAAGAGCGAGAUGGUGUAGAAGAACUACAGGGGAGAAGAUUCAAUAUAUCUCAUGUUGGAGAUUUGAGGGAGAAAUUAAGGCCCGGGUUAUGUACUGUAUAUGCGGUAUGUGUUGCAAGAUUGGCUUAAGAGGAAGAAUUUGGAGUUUUAAUUUCUGUUAGUCUUUAUGACAGCUUAACAUGCUAGCAUGUCUUGAUACUUCACGUACUGCAACUAGAACUAACACAAACUAAUUUGUUUAUACAUUAAAUCACUGGGAGUAAAAUUUUCUUGUUUGAAGAUGUAAAAAAGAGCUUAGAAGUGUUUCACGGAGCAAAUAGCCCCUAGACAAGAAAAGUUUUCUGAUAGCAGUUGAACCCUGUGCAUGCCCCAUAAUAGCCACCUCCUUCUCUGUCACAAUUUAGCGCAGCCAAAUGCUCAAAUUUCAGGGAACUGAUAGGAAUGCUUGUUAGAAAAAUGUUCUCGUUAACCACGAAGUUCUGAUGGCCGAACUAUCGGAAUGUAUAAAAGUCAGCUGUGGCCAUUGUGGCUCCUGAACUGGCUUAUAGAAUGGAUGUACUCGUGGCCGAACAUAGGUUGCUGUGACUUUUGAGCAAGAAGGAUGACACAGGCACAGGCAUCGGUGCCAAUCCUGAUCACACUUUCCUUCCCCUGAAACAGGCAAAUUUUGUACAUGCUUGAAAAUUUUAGUAUUCCAAAUACAUGCGUUUCUUGUUACCAGGAAAAAAAGCAAUCAAGUUUACAUUUUCUGAUCUUAGUGAACUUGGUUGGCAAUGGUUUUUAUUUUUUAUUUAUUUUUGGGCACAGGCCAAGGAAAUUAUUAAGCAUUGAACUUUGUUAAAUGAUCUUGGCUUCUUGCCAGAAGCUGAAAGUCAAAAUGAAAAAAGACUGAAGAUCCACGAGAAUAGAACUUGUGAAACAUUACAUGUGCAACCUGGUCGGGCUUAUAAAUAUGGACAUGAAGAUAUUGCAUUAAAUCACUAAUCUGGUGAGUUUGAUUUUGGUUCUGCCAAAAUUUUUCUAGAUCCAUAUUGACGAAAUGAUGUUUGCUAGAUUUAUUUUUCUGGCAAUGAAAGCAUCAACUUCUUAUUGGCCAACAUACUAAGCGAUGUUUUCGUGCCUUUUAUGGGUCUCAUGGUCAAUCUCAGGUUUGCCUGUUUCAUCACCGCACUGUCAUUUAUGUUGGUAAAUCACUAGUAGGGCUCGGUGAUUAUUUAGAGCGGGUUAUAGAUGUCUUCAUUUAGAAUUUGAAUUGUAAGGAAGUCCAAUUCUAUUUGAGUUGGCCUCUGGACUCCGGACAAUUACAGAAAGUGCGAGGAAAACUUUCAAACUCUGUGUAGUUAAGAGGGCACGCAGUAAAUAGGGUAUGAUCAUACAACAGACCCUAUAUUCUUCUGUAGAAGAUACCAAUAUGUACGUCAGGAUUGGAACAAUGCAAAGUGGAAUUUGAGAAUAUAGUAGCCAUUUGGUGUGUAUUUUUCUAAUACAUCCUCCCCGCCCCCUAUCUUUUCUGUUUUUUUUUUUUAAAUUCUAGUUAAUACUAUACUUUUGUUUUUGCAAUUUUUAUUACUUUAAUUCAACAACGCACUAUCCAUCUAAAAAAAUUAACCACCACUGUAUAGUAAACAUUAAUAAAUAUAUUGUUUAACAUUCGCUAGAAUGGUUUGGUGUCCUCCCAUUUUUGAAAAUUUUAAUUGUUGGGUGCAAUUGUCAAGUCGUGUGUCUGUAUCGGUCUACUUGGCCUAUAGAUUUAAUAACUAUGCACGUUAAAAGUUAGGAUAGUAUUGAAACGGAUAUGGUUCUCUUUUAUUCUGGUCUUUGUCAGAAAAUUAUUCAUGAGAAGUAUAUGGCAAUGUGAAUGAUUGUUUUGAAAAGCGCUCUCUCUUUCGAAAGGUUGGUUUUGUAGAGUUUUUUGUUGGUCCUCUGUUUUGAUUUAGUGGUUCCUACUUUGUCCAUGAAGAGGCUUUGAGGUAUUAUGUGACAAAAAAUAUUUCUGCCUGCUUAAGUGCGGAGCUUCUGGCUGCAUGUUGUGAUACUGUUUUCAAGAAGGAUGGGAGUGAAAAAAAGAGUGUGAAGCCAUGGAAGACACUUUGGACAAGGUAGCCUUCUUGUUUCUCUCCUAUCAAAUUCCAUUUUCGUCAAAUCUAUUGACUUUUAAUGGUAGUUUUAACCUGUGCCUUUAAUUUCGAGAGUUAUUUGCUUAUAUUGUCAAGAAAGAUCUUUUUGCUGCAUUCUGCAGGUAAGCUGUUUUUUUACAUUAUAUGUUUCAACUUUGUCUUGAAUGGGGAUAUAGUUCUCUUUCCCUUCCCAUCUUUUAUUUCCAGCUAUGACGGGAAUGGCAACUUAAGAUGAUAAAAGUACUUGAGUCUUGAUAACCUUCCUUCCUUGUAAUUACUUCAACUAAUGUUGUAUAUUGCCACCACUGUGGUAUAGCUCAAUUUUAUACCAUUUCCAUGUUGGUAUUAUCUUCAAAGUUCCUAAUGGCUACUAAAUUACACGAAGUGUUGAUCCAACAAAUGCUAUUUCUCGAUACUCGAUUGUUAAGAUACAUGCCAGUAAGAUAGAGAAGAGACUUUGUCCGUCAGGUGCAAGUAUUGCACACUAUAACCAACUGAUUUAAGAUCAGCCCAAUGGAUAAGAUCAUCCACUUAGAAAUAUGUCAGCUGCAGUGCUCGAAAACCAUUCGAAGAUCCUUUCAGUGUCCAAAGGUACAAUAAGAUAGAUAACUUGCACCCGAGACGUGCAAAAAUGAGGUUUUGCAUUAGGGAUGAGUAUGCAAAAACGAUAGAGUACGUAGGUACCCGUCGUGUCUUGUAGAAAAGCGAUACAACCAUAUGGACAUAAUGCAUGUCCAGUGUUUUUACACGAGUGUUACUGUUGCUAAUGAAGUUUAUUUUCUAAUGAGAAUACACAGCUGUGUUUUGCUUUAUAAUACCAGUGUUUUGUGGAAGACAGUGAUUAAUGCCUGAAAGAGGUAGUCUCUGAGUACGGUUGAAACUUUGACACGACAAUUUUACCCAAGUUUUACCAUGACAAUGAGUUUUGACAAUGUGAAAGCCCAUCGAACAGAGGAGUUACGACUGCAGUGACCUUGUUCAACUAUCAUUUUUUUCCUCAACAAUUUAUCUUUCUGGGAUGGAGGGGCAUUUAGAUGGUCGAAGGUCACAGGAGGUGGGGGAGAGAAUUAAGGCAAUCUUAGGAGAGAGAGGGCAGCAGUGGAGAUAUUUGAAUCAACGGAGGGAGUGGUUUGCCUAAGUUGGGGACUGAUAUCACCAAGUGAUAAUGUGUAUUUUUUAAUUUCCCACUACUAAUAUUUGAGAUCUUCUCAGAAUAAAUGUGGAAUUUUGAUUUGAUAUUUUCUCAAUAUUUUUAGUCCAAUUAAAAUUGAUAUAUUUAUAUUAAUUUGACACUAAACCAAAUAGUUGAGUACUUCUCUUGUUUAGUUGAUAAGUUCUAUUUUUUCCCAAAAAAUUUAUGGAUAUUUUUUUUAUUUAUUAUGUUGUGCAGCGGUAAUCAUGUUCAUACAUAAUUUAGAAGUUGAUUAUUUCUUAAUAUGAAAAUCAUAUUAUAUUUAAUUGAUCUUGUUUGCUUUGAAAAACAAUUAUUGUUUGUUUGACUACUUAAGUUUCAUAUUGAGAUUGGUAGGUUGAUGGUUAUUCAAAAUGAAAUUUUUGUACGAUAAUUACUUACUAUGAUUUUUUUGUAGACUAAGUACACUUAAAAAGAUCUUAUUAUAAUUUUUUCAAUUGUUUUCGCUUGAUAAUGAUUUUAUACUUUUUUGAUUUUUCUUAACAAGAGGAGUCCCAAAAAUGUGAUUUUUUUUACCUAAUAUAAAAAAAUGUUUACUAAAGAUGGAAAAAAAAAAUAUUUUCGAUGAUUUUUUAGGAUAAAAAUAUUUUUAUUUUUUAUUUUUAGUGAUUUGUUUUUGAAUUAUAUGAAUUUUUUUAUAUUUUUGAACUCCUUUCGUUAAAAAGAACCAAAAAAAUAUUAAAUUUUAAUCAAAUUACAAAAAAACAAAUUACUAAACACAAAAAACCUCCGUUCACUCACUAUAUCAGAUGAGUUACCAGUACAAAAUUGCAAUUAAAAAGGUUAGUUUCUUGCAUUUCUUGAUUGUACAUAUAGUAAAAACUUAUGGGUCCUAAUCCUUAACUUUCCUAGUAGAUUAGUUUUUUUCUCAAAACUUGUAUUAUUGCAAAAACAAACAACAACAAGAGUUUGCCGAAUUCUUGUUUUUCAACUACUUCCCUUUAUAAUCCAAUUACCAUAUUUUAAGUUUUCUACAAAAUUCUUUUUGUCAAAUGAACACCCUAAGAAAAUUAAAUUUCCUCUUCCUUAACUUAAAUACACUUUUCUUAAAAAUAACUUUCCUACAACAUAUUCUUGUUAACUAAACAGAGCCAGAACCAAUACAAUCCAGUCCUUUGAGGUCUGUUUUGAAGAUCUGAAUCAUUCAGAUUGUAUACCUUAUCUUGAAGACCAAUAUUAUAAAAAAUCACGUUAAUCGAAUAUAAUUUAACAGUGAUUGUUAUUAAUUUUUAUCAAUAUAAAUAGGUAUAAUGUUGUGUGCUGCACCCCUAUUUAUUUAGUUAUAAAAAAGUAUUCGAGAUAUUAAACUGUAUCUGAUUAAUGUGAUUUUUUACAGUAUUGAUUUUUAAGACAUAGUUUAUGAUGUGAACAAUUUAAAUAAUUAAAAUGAACUCAAAAUAAUUGAACAGGACCGAUUCAAUUCAAUUAAUGGACCGGAGAUAAUUCAAUCCCACCAUUUAAACCCAAAUGAAAUAACGGCAAAGAAAACAAGAACAAGUGUUUAUGUUUACGUCGACCAAGACUUUGAGACUUGCAUGUGAAAUCUAUGAGUUUGCUAAGAACAAGUAAUAAUGAUGUGAACAAUUCAAAUAAUCAAAAUAGACUCAAAAUAAUUAAACAGGACCGAUUCAAUUCAGUUAAUGGAUCGGAGAUAAUUCAAUCCCACCAUUUAAACCCAAACGAAACAACGGCAAAAAAAAUCAAGAACAUGUAAUAAUGGUUAUAUCUACGUCAACGAAGACUCGGAGACUUGCCUAUGAAAUCUAUGCGCAUCUCCAUUGAUUGUGAUAGUGCGAAUAUUAGUGAGUUGGUUAAGAUAAAGUAGUUAAACUAUGUUUUAACCAAGUUUUAGCUUGUGCUAAGAGUAGGCCUCCACACAUCUAAAUCUUAGUGUCAAUUGUAAAUAUUUAGCAAGUUAGUUAACAAAACAAAUAAAUUGAUUAUGCUCAUUAAAAUACAAAUUUUUAAUCAUUUUAUUUUGUGUAAAUGAGAAUUAUGUAGGCCCUACUCAUUAAACUAUUGUUAUUUGUAUUGAUUAAUUUGUAGAUAAAAGUUAAUGUAAUAAAUAAUGUAUUUUUUAUUAACUAAGUAUUUUAACUAACAAAAAUAAGACCUACUUUUACCUUAUGACACGGCUUAACACACAAGCUAAUAACCACAGUCAACAGAAUUGCUCUAAACCCAAAGACCACGCAAAGAAAGUAAGAACAAGUGGUUGGGCUUAUCAACAUCAACACACACUUGAAGACAUGCCACCGAAAUCUAACCCAAAGACCAUGAUAAAGAAAAUUAGAACAAGUGGGCCUCUAAAAUCGAAUCCCAAAGACCACGACAAAGAAAAAUACAAAUUUGUUGAUCAAUAAAAUAUUUUUAAUUUGAUUAAUUUAUAUAAUGGAAUUUACUGUUUUAAUGAGAGUAUUUAAACUAAUUACAAAGUGAAUAGUAUUUUAUAAAUUGAGUUAACAAUAAAAUAUUCAAAGGCACCAUUUAAUUGUUAAGAAAGGGAAAGAAAAAUAAAAUAUUUUUUGAUUGUUCAAUAGACAGCAACUUCUAGAAUCCUAAUCCUUCACUUUUCUAAUACGAUUAUUUUUUCUUCAAAUAUUGUCCUUAAAAAAACAUAAAAUCUUAUGAAAUCUUACUUUCCAAACAAUUCCCUCUAUAAUUCAAUUACCAUGUUUUAUUUUUCGUAUAAAAUUCUUUUAUCACAUGAACAAACUCAAGAAAUUAAUUUUUUUUUUACUUCAAUUUACUUCAUUUUUUUUAUAAAUAUUUUUUUCGCAACAAAUUAUUGACAACAUAAAAAAACAUAAUAAAACCAAAUCCACAUCCUUAAGAAAUUCCAAUAUCAUGUUAAAACAUGGUAUUUUUAAAUAUGUGCUUCAAAGUUCUCUCAAUAUCCACUCACUUGUUACCCGUCACUCUCGUGGGUGUAGAGCAAUAAGUGACGUGAGUGGUAAACUCAAUUAUUAUUAUUUUAAAUACUUAAAAUUCCUCAAUUAAGAUGAAUGAUAAGUUGAAACCUAUAAAAGAUAGAAAAAUUUUGAUAAAGUUAAAAAAUUCAACUCGAAAAAAAGCAAAAAAAAAUAAAAAUUGCUAAAAAAUUGCAAUAUAUAUACAAAAAAAGAAGCUAAUCUUAACACUAAUUUCACCACUUUUUACUCUUUCGAUAAUCUGAAUUAUUCAUAUUGUAUAUCCCGUUGUGAAGAUCAAUAUUAUAAAAGAAUCAGGUUAAUCGAAUAUAAUUUAAUAGUUGAUCGUUAUCAAUUUACAUCAAUAUUAUUUAUUAAGUUAUAAAAUAAUACCCAAGAUAUUAAACUGUAUUUGAUUAACAUAUUUUUUUAGAGUAUUGAUUUUCAGGACAUAGCAUGAAUUUGAACAAUUUGAAUAAUUAAAAUGGGGCCCAAUUAAUAGUUCAAUUCAAUUAGUAGACCAAAGACAAUUCAAUCCCAACAUUUAAACCCAAACGAAAAGCAACAAUGAAAACAAGAACAAGUAAUAAUGGUUAUGUUAACAUCAACAAAGACUCGGAGACUUGCCUAUGAAAUCUAAGAGCAUCUUCAUUUGUUGCGUUAGUAUGGGUAUUAGUGAGUGGGCUAAAAUUAAUUAAUUAAUUAGUCUUUUUUUUAAUAGUUUAGCUAAAAAUGUGCUAAGUGUGUCUCGCCUACUUUAGAUACUAGAGUCAUGGUUAAAUACCCCUAAAAAAUUAAUAGUUUAGCCAUUUUGCUUUGUGUAGAUGAAAAUUAUGUAGGUUCUACUCGUUAAACUAUUGUUAUUUAUAUUAAUUAAUUUAUAAAUAAAAAAUUAAUAUAAUAAGUAGUGCACUUCUUAACACAAUUAACGGAGUAUUUUUAAUACCGUUAACUAAACUUAACACAAACUAAUAAGCGCAAAGACCACGGCAAAGGAAGUAAGAACAAGUGGUUAUGGUUAUGUCAACAUCAACAAAGACUUGAAGAUUUACCGCUGAAAUCUAAACCCAAAGACCAUGGCGAAGAAAGUAAAAACAAGUGGUUAUGGUUGCACGUGGAAUGCAAAUUUGUUGAUCAAUGAACGUUAUUUUCAACGUGAUUGAUUGGUAUAAUAGAAUUCACUGUUUUAAUUGAACAAGUUUUAUUAUUUAAACUAAUAUUUACUCACUAUGUUAAAUUGAAUUACUAAUAAAUAUUUUAAGUCAGGCACCAUUUAGAUGUCAAGAAAAAAAUAAUAAUUUUUGAUUGUUCAAUAGCGUACGACGACAACUUGUAGAAUCCUAGUUCUUCACUUUUCUAAUAAGAUUAAGUUUUCUUUAAUUUUAUUCUGCAAAAAAAAAAAAUUUACGAAAUUUUACUUUCCAAACAAUUCCCUCUAUAAUUUGAUUACCAUGUUUUAUUUUUCAUAUAAAAUUCUUUUGUCACAUGAACAAACUUAAGACACUAAAUUUUCUUAUACUUCAAUUUAAUUCAUUUUUUUUUACAAAUAACUUUUCUGCAAUAAAUUAUUGGGAAUACAAAAAAAAACAUAAUAAAAACAAAGUCACAGCCUCAAGCAAUUCCAAUAUCAUGUUAAAAUAUGGUGUUUGUUAAAUUACAUGCUUCAAAGUUCUCUCAUUAUCCAAUCAAUGUCUUUCGCCACUCUCUCAAUGGUGGGGGGCAAUAAGUAGAGGUGUCAAGCGGGCCUUGCCGGCCACGGCACGGCACGGGCACGGCACGAAAAAAACCCGCCGAGCACGCUUGAGGCACUGAUAAAAGUUGGGCAGGUACGGCACGAUACGGUCUGAGAGGCCGAACACGGGCACGAGGCACGGAAAAUGGCAGAGCACGGCACGGGACGGCAAUAGUUGGCCUCACACGGCACGGCAUGGCACGGACACGGUCAAAAGCCCGGCACGGCACGGGCAUGACACGAUAGUUAUUGGUUUGGCACGACACGGCACGGCACGACACAGACUUAGCCAAGCACGGCCACAGGCAUGGCCGAAUGUGGUCAAGG